GGGCGGCUGGCUCAGUCGGUUAGAGCACCUCGUUUACACCGAGGGGGUCGGGGGUUCGAGUCCCUCACCGCCUACCA
rnacentral:tRNA from 1 species